GCUCAAAUUUGAAAUCUCACUGUUUCACAGUGCGAAUUGUAGUUUAGAGAAGCGCUUUCGAACCUAGUCUGGGUACAAGUUCUUUGGAACAAGACAUCAUAGAGGGUGAGAAUCCCGUCCAUGAUCCAGGUCCUAGGUUUAUGUGAUGCGUUUUCCAAGAGUCGGUUUGUUUGGGAAUGCAGACCAAAAUGGGUGGUAAAUACCAUCUAAAGCUAAAUACUGGCGAGAGACCGAUAGCGAACAAGUACCGUGAGGGAAAGAUGAAAAGAACUUUGAAAAGAGAGUUAAACAGUACGUGAAAUUGUCAAAAGGGAAACGCUUGAAACCAGUAUUGUGCGGUCUAAUUCAGUACAUCAACCGAUGUAUGCACUUUAGGCCGUGCGAGUCAACAUCAGUUUGGGACGCGGUAAAAAGACUAGCGGAAUGUGGCCCUCGGGUGUUAUAGCCGCUAGUCAAUGCAGUGUCCUGGACUGAGGAACGCAGCGUUACUUGGGGACCACUGUCGCCCUCUGGCUCGACGCUAAACGACUACAUGUAGAUGUUUAGGCACUCGAGUCGAGGCCCGGCGGAUGUACCACACCAGCGCUUUGGAUGUUGACGAAAUGGUUUUAAACGACCCGUCUUGAAACACGGACCAAGGAGUCUAACAUAUAUGCGAGUAUUUGGGUGUCAAACCCUUAUGCGCAAUGAAAGUGAACAGGUGGGAUCUUUAUUGAGCACCAUCGACCGGGCCAUGGAUUUAUCUAUCGGUCUGAGUAAGAGCAUACAUGUUGGGACCCGAAAGAUGGUGAACUAUGCCUGAAUAGGGUGAAGCCAGAGG
rnacentral:rRNA from 1 species